UUGGGUNUUCACCGACUCAGUAACGNAAGCNAACCGCGNGAAGUAGACCGCNUGGNGAGUACGGCCNCAAGCUUGACACUCAAAGGAANUGACGGGGACCCGCACAANCGGUGGNUGAUNUGGNUUAAUUCGAUGCAACGCGCAAAACCUUACCCACCUCUGACAUGUACGGAAUCCUUUAGAGAUAGAGGAGUGCUCGNAAGAGAGCCGUAACACAGGUGCUGCAUGGCUGUCGUCAGCUCGUGUCGUGAGAUGUUGGGUUAAGUCCCGCAACGAGCGCAACCCUUGUCAUUAGUUGCUACAUUUAGUUGGGCACUCUAAUGAGACUGCCGGUGACAAACCGGAGGAAGGUGGGGAUGACGUCAAGUCCUCAUGGCCCUUAUAGGUGGGGNUACACACGUCAUACAAUGGAUGGUACAAAGGGUCGCCAACCCGCGAGGGGGAGCCAAUCCCAUAAAGCCAUUCGUAGUCCGGAUCGCAGUCUGCAACUCGACUGCGUGAAGUCGGAAUCGCUAGUAAUCGUGGAUCAGAAUGUCACGGUGAAUACGUUCCCGGGUCUUGUACACACCGCCCGUCACACCAUGGGAGCGGGUUCUGCCAGAAGUAGGUAGCCUAACCGUAAGGAGGGCGCUUACCACGGCAGGGUUCGUGACUGGGGUGAAGUCGUAANCAAGGUAUC
rnacentral:rRNA from 1 species